UGGGGAAUUUUGGACAAUGGGCGAAAGCCUGAUCCAGCAAUGCCGCGUGUGUGAAGAAGGCCUUCGGGUUGUAAAGCACUUUUGUCCGGAAAGAAAUCCUUGGCUCUAAUACAGUCGGGGGAUGACGGUACCGGAAGAACAAGCACCGGCUAACUACGUGCCAGCAGCCGCGGUAAUACGUAGGGUGCAAGCGUUAAUCGGAAUUACUGGGCGUAAAGCGUGCGCAGGCGGUUUGCUAAGACCGAUGUGAAAUCCCCGGGCUCAACCUGGGAACUGCAUUGGUGACUGGCAGGCUAGAGUAUGGCAGAGGGGGGUAGAAUUCCACGUGUAGCAGUGAAAUGCGUAGAGAUGUGGAGGAAUACCGAUGGCGAAGGCAGCCCCCUGGGCCAAUACUGACGCUCAUGCACGAAAGCGUGGGGAGCAAACAGGAUUAGAUACCCUGGUAGUCCACGCCCUAAACGAUGUCAACUAGUUGUUGGGGAUUCAUUUCCUUAGUAACGUAGCUAACGCGUGAAGUUGACCGCCUGGGGAGUACGGUCGCAAGAUUAAAACUCAAAGGAAUUGACGGGGUCAUAGCUGUUUCCU
rnacentral:rRNA from 1 species